UGGGGAAUAUUGCACAAUGGGCGCAAGCCUGAUGCAGCCAUGCUGCGUGUGUGAAGAAGGCCUUCGGGUUGUAAAGCACUUUCAGCGGGGAGGAAGGCGAUAAGGUUAAUAACCUUGUCGAUUGACGUUACCCGCAGAAGAAGCACCGGCUAACUCCGUGCCAGCAGCCGCGGUAAUACGGAGGGUGCAAGCGUUAAUCGGAAUUACUGGGCGUAAAGCGAACGCAGGCGGUCUGUCAAGUCGGAUGUGAAAUCCCCGGGCUCAACCUGGGAACUGCAUUCGAAACUGGCAGGCUAGAGUCUUGUAGAGGGGGGUAGAAUUCCAGGUGUAGCGGUGAAAUGCGUAGAGAUCUGGAGGAAUACCGGUGGCGAAGGCGGCCCCCUGGACAAAGACUGACGCUAAGGUGCGAAAGCGUGGGGAGCAAACAGG
rnacentral:rRNA from 1 species